UAGAAACUUUUGGGAAAGUCGUAAACAUAACGUGUAAUUUAUUAGGGUAAAUCCUUUAUUAAGCAGCCACAUGGCUUUGUUGUGCGCACUUCAGGGGGCGUACUCGACAUGUUGACAUUAUGGAAUAUGGUUGCUUAAUUGGGAUAUACUGUAGGUGCUCUUUCGCAGUCUACUAUGUAACGCUAUCCAGUAUAGUAUAAACCCUGUGUAAACGUUGCCUCACACACAUUUCCCAAGUAUGAUUUACCAUUGUUGUGAAUGGACAAAACAAGAUCAUGUCAAGUGGACACCUAUAUUUUG
rnacentral:lncRNA from 1 species